rnacentral:rRNA from 1 species
UACGUAGGGGGCAAGCGUUGUCCGGAAUCAUUGGGCGUAAAGCGCGUGUAGGCGGCUCGGUAAGUCUGCUGUGAAAGUCCAGGGCUCAACCCUGGGAUGCCGGUGGAUACUGUCGAGCUCGAGUCCGGAAGAGGCGAGUGGAAUUCCUGGUGUAGCGGUGAAAUGCGCAGAUAUCAGGAGGAACACCCGUGGCGAAGGCGGCUCUCUGGGACGGUACUGACGCUGAGACGCGAAAGCGUGGGGAGCGAACAGG